GAUGAAGAACGUAGCGAAAUGCGAUAAGUAAUGUGAAUUGCAGAAUCCAGUGAAUCAUCGAAUCUUUGAACGCACAUUGCGCCCGCCAGCAUUCUGGCGGGCAUGCCUGUUCGAGCGUCAUUUCAACCCUCGACCUCCCUUUGGGGAAGUCGGCGUUGGGGACCGGCAGCACACCGCCGGCCCUGAAAUGGAGUGGCGGCCCGUCCGCGGCGACCUCUGCGUAGUAAACCAACUUGCACCGGAACCCCGACGUGGCCACGCCGUAAAACACCCAACUUCUGAACGUUGACCUCGAAUCAGGUAGGACUACCCGCUGAACUUAAGCAUAUCAAUAAGCGGAGGA
rnacentral:misc_RNA from 1 species